rnacentral:lncRNA from 1 species
CAUCAACAGAUGACGGCGUCCCUGUGGCACUGACUGAUCGCACUGGCUGCGACUUCCCGUAAUUCCCUCCCACUGAUGUUGGUCUGGAACGGCCGCAGCAGAAAGUGGUGCAAACAUCUAGUGCAGUGCACGGAGGCGUCGUUUCUUAACCCCGUGAGGUCAUGAACUGGCGUUUUGGCCUCAGCGCCUGUGAGCCGCGUGCGUCUGAGAGUCCAGGAGCUACUGGUGACAUCGUGGUUUGAGGUCACAUGACAGCGAGCGAGCUAAAAUGGGGCUCCUGGUCUCUAAAGCCUAAGCUAAACACCUCGGCUGUGAAGGGUCGUUCCAGGGUCAGAGGUGUUUGAUGAGAUGCCAACUGCUCCAAGCUCACAGGUGGGAAGAUUAAAUGAUGCCAUUAAAAGUGCUUGAACAGCUGCGGUAUGACAGAGUGAGGCGUCACCAAAUUCACCCGAAGACAAGAACUGCAUGAAAUAAACUCCUGUGACUGAAUGUACA